CUGACACACCACAACAACUACCCCUUCUCCACCGAAGACCAAGACAACGACCGAGAUGCUGAAAACUGUGCCGUGCACUAUCAGGGAGCCUGGUGGUAUGCCAGCUGUCACCUGUCACACCUGAAUGGUGUCUACCUCGGGGGGGCCCGUGACAGCUUUACAAACGGCAUCAACUGGAAGUCGGGGAAAGGGAACAACUACAGCUACAAGGUGUCGGAGAUGAAGGUGCGGCCCACCUAG
rnacentral:lncRNA from 1 species